rnacentral:rRNA from 1 species
GAUGAACGCUGGCGGCGUGCUUAACACAUGCAAGUCGAACGAAGCAUUUAAGACAGAUUUUUUCGGAAUGAAGUUUUUUAUGACUGAGUGGCGGACGGGUGAGUAACGCGUGGGUAACCUGCCUCACACAUGGGGAUAGCAGUUGGAAACGACUGGUAAUACCGCAUAAGCGCACAGCUUCGCAUGAAGCGGUGUGAAAAACUCCUGUGGUGUGAGAUGGACCCGCGUCUGAUUAGGUAGUUGGUGAGGUAACGGCCCACCAAGCCGACGAUCAGUAGCCGACCUGAGAGGGUGACCGGCCACAUUGGGACUGAGACACGGCCCAGACUCCUACGGGAGGCAGCAGUGGGGAAUAUUGCACAAUGGAGGAAACUCUGAUGCAGCGACGCCGCGUGAGUGAAGAAGUAUUUCGGUAUGUAAAGCUCUAUCAGCAGGGAAGACAGUGACGGUACCUGACUAAGAAGCUCCGGCUAAAUACGUGCCAGCAGCCGCCGUAAAAC